rnacentral:rRNA from 1 species
GAUGAACGCUGGCGGCGUGCCUAAUACAUGCAAGUCGAGCGAACGGACGAGAAGCUUGCUUUUCUGAUGUUAGCGGCGGACGGGUGAGUAACACGUGGAUAACCUACCUAUAAGACUGGGAUAACUUCGGGAAACCGGAGCUAAUACCGGAUAAUAUUUUGAACCGCAUGGUUCAAAAGUGAAAGACGGUCUUGCUGUCACUUAUAGAUGGAUCCGCGCUGCAUUAGCUAGUUGGUAAGGUAACGGCUUACCAAGGCAACGAUGCAUAGCCGACCUGAGAGGGUGAUCGGCCACACGGGAACUGAGACACGGUCCAGACUCCUACGGGAGGCAGCAGUAGGGAAUCUUCCGCAAUGGGCGAAAGCCUGACGGAGCAACGCGGCGUGGGUGAUGAAGGUCUUCGGAUCGUAAAACUCUGUUAUUAGGGAAGAACAUAUGUGUAAGUAACAGUGCACAUCUUGACGGUACCUAAUCAGAAAGCCACGGCUAACUACGU